rnacentral:tRNA from 1 species
CUGGGGAUAGCUUAAGUUUAAAGUUUAGAAUUCUUACUUCUAGGAUGUCUAUUUGAUUCUCCGGG